GACGAACGCUGGCGGCGUGCUUAACACAUGCAAGUCGAACGGUAAGGCCCUUCGGGGUACACGAGUGGCGAACGGGUGAGUAACACGUGGGUGAUCUGCCCUGCACUUCGGGAUAAGCCUGGGAAACUGGGUCUAAUACCGGAUAGGACCACUGCCUGCAUGGGUGGUGGUGGAAAGCUUUUGCGGUGUGGGAUGGGCCCGCGGCCUUUCAGCUUGUUGGUGGGGUGAUGGCCUACCAAGGCGACGACGGGUAGCCGGCCUGAGAGGGUAACCGGCCACGCUGGGACUGAGUUACGGCCCAGACUCCUGCGGGAGGCAGCAGUGGGGAAUGUUGCACAGUGGGAGCAAGCCUGAUGCAGCGACGCCGCGUGAGGGAUGACGGCCUUCGGGUUGUAAACCUCUUUCAGCACCGACGAAGCGCAAGUGACGGUAGGUGCAGAAGAAGGACCGGCCAACUACGUGCCAGCCGCCGCCGUAA
rnacentral:rRNA from 1 species